GACGAGCGAAAAUAGGACGUGUAGUUCAUGGGCAAAGGCUGCCCUCAGCUGGCCACGCUGCUGAGGUGAGCUACAAGAAGCAAUUUCUGCUCAUGCAGCAAGGGAACAAACAGCUGUUUACUCAGACGACUUUGAGAGUGAAGAAGUUGACAUGUUAAAUGAUACUGUGGAGGAACGUCAUAAAAGCAAUUCAGAUGCUGACAGCAGUAAGAAAUCUGUUGAUUCUGAGAGUCCUCCCUCAGAUGAUGGUGCAUCACAAAAAGCAGCUGACUUGGAAAAUGAAGGUGUUGAUGACUUGAGUUUGUCCUUUCAUGAAAGGAAACUUCAGCAAAAACCACUUUCAGAAAGUGAAAACAUACAUGACAAAAUAAAUGAAGUGCACUGUUUGGAAAGUGACAAUGAAGACAAUGACAGAAAAAAUAAUGAAGAGCAUUCAGCUGCUGAAUUGCAGUGUCAUAUGAGUGAGAUUGACCACUGCAAUGAUUUGCCUAUGCCUGAACUAAAGAAAGAAAGAAAGGCUAUUACACUGGAUCAAAAGGAAAAGAAACCAAUACCAAAGCCAAGGAUGCACAAAACAAGAAAUACAUCAGCAUCAGGUGAAAAGACAGCACUUGAAUAUUGUUGCUGUUGCUUGCUUAGCCAUAUUAUAUUAUUUAAAAUGUGUUGUUAUUAGGGUUAUUUUAUGUGUUAAGUAUAUUUUAAAUUGUUUUGACUUUUGAUGUAUUUAUUUAAUGUUCUUCUAAUAAUACAUGUUUUGAUAACCUGCUUGGAUGUGAAUCUGACCCAUGGUGGGUCAAGUAUCAAGCAGUUCCCUAUCUGUCUUUUCCUUUCAGGAGAUGGAAACCAACCAUUUGGGUACUUAAAGUUUACUUUUCCAUCAGUACCUCUGCAUGGAAGGUGUGGGAGGGCUAAAGCUUUGCCUUCUCCAUGUGUGCAUAACACAGAGAGUCAUGUUUACACGAUGUUCAUGGCAUCCACCCACCCAUUAAUGGAAAGGUCAUUAAACAGGCCUUCCUCUCCACGGCCAAUGAAGCUGGAACACAGUGUUCACAAAUACAGUGUUGAAGUCGUGAUGCUGAGAUUUCAUGCUGCUGUUGUGUAAUAGAAAGUCAGAAUAUGAGCCAUAACCAAA
rnacentral:lncRNA from 1 species